rnacentral:tRNA from 1 species
UCUAAUAUGGCAGAUUUAAGUGCAAUGAGUUUAAGAUUCAUAUAUAAAAUAAUUUUUGUUAGAA